rnacentral:rRNA from 1 species
GAUGAACGCUGGCGGCGUGCCUAAUACAUGCAAGUCGAGCGAACAGACGAGGAGCUUGCUCCUUUGACGUUAGCGGCGGACGGGUGAGUAACACGUAGGUAACCUACCUAUAAGACUGGGAUAACUUCGGGAAACCGGAGCUAAUACCGGAUAAUAUUUCGAACCGCAUGGUUCGAUAGUGAAAGAUGGCUUUGCUAUCACUUAUAGAUGGACCUGCGUCGUAUUAGCUAGUUGGUAAGGUAACGGCUUACCAAGGCAACGAUACGUAGCCGACCUGAGAGGGUGAUCGGCCACACUGGAACUGAGACACGGUCCAGACUCCUACGGGAGGCAGCAGUAGGGAAUCUUCCGCAAUGGGCGAAAGCCUGACGGAGCAACGCCGCGUGAGUGAUGAAGGUCUUCGGAUCGUAAAACUCUGUUAUUAGGGAAGAACAAACGUGUAAGUAACUGUGCACGUCUUGACGGUACCUAAUCAGAAAGCCACGGCUAACUACGUG